ACGGGUGAGUAACACGUAUCCAACCUGCCUCAUACAGGGGGAUAACAGUUAGAAUGGCUGCUAAUACCGCAUAAGACCACAGUACUGCAUGGUACAGUGGUAAAAACUCCGGUGGUAUGAGAUGGACCCGCGUCUGAUUAGGUAGUUGGUGAGGUAACGGCCCACCAAGCCGACGAUCAGUAGCCGACCUGAGAGGGUGACCGGCCACAUUGGGACUGAGACACGGCCCAG
rnacentral:rRNA from 1 species